AGGACUCAUCAAUCUCCCAGCCUCUUGGGUGAGGUGUACAAGCUGCUACAUAAACAACCCUUGGGAAAACCGAUGUGAUCAACCAUUGACGGUAACCCAUAGCAACACAUCCUGCUCAGUGCUAAAAAUCAGGUCAAAUAAAACCAUGAAUACCUUCAGGAAGAAAUGCAUACUAUUUACCAAUCAGCUCCUGGACUGACAACACAUGGAUAAUGAAGGUUCUUCUUGCUUCAAGAUUUACAAUCAUAUUUGACAAAGUUUCAUAUAAAGAGCCUUCUAAACCACAUCUACCCAACAAUGUCAGAGAACCAAUCCUGUAACCCGAAUACUCUUCUUCCUCCACAACGUGUCGAUAUCCAGUGUAGAAGCCAUGCAUCCGUUUUCAAUCUGCGUUGUAUUCUGUGUUGUGUGUUUACUAUGUUUAUAUAGUAAGUAGUCACAUGAGUGGGGGGGUGG